GGGCCAGUAGGUUGGUCGUGCCACCGGUACGUACUGGUCUCACUGAUUCCUCCUUCCUGAAGAACCGUAAUGCCAUUAAUUUGGUGUUGCGGGGAAACAGGACUGUUACUUUGAAAAAAUUAGUGUGUUUAAAGCAAGCUAACGCUUGAAUACAUUAGCAUGGAAUAAUGAAAUAGGACGAUCGAUCCUAUUUUGUUGGUUUCUAGGAUUGACGUA
rnacentral:rRNA from 1 species